ACACCCAUGACGCAGUGGCUUAGCGUGUCGUUCUUAUAUUGAUUCUGCGGAAUUACAUAUGAUAAUUUGCAAACUUGUAAUGCGAAAGUCGCGAGUUCGAAUCUCGCUGGGUGUA